rnacentral:lncRNA from 1 species
UGGCUUCAAAAAUUGGGUAGUGGCUUGCAGGAUCCUAUAGACAGCUCACAAUUACCUUUUAAAAAGAUACAUUUUCUGGGCCAGGCAUGGUGGCUCACACCUGUAAUCACAGCACUUUGGGAGGCCAAGGCAGGUGGAUCAACUGAGGUCAGGAGUUUGAGACCAGCCUAGCUAAUGUAGUGAAAUCCUGUCUCUACUAAAAAUACAAAAAUUAGCUGGGCAUGAGCCACCGCACCCGGCCUCAAAGUGAUAUUUGUGCACACAGUGCAUUUAUGAAGGACUUGAAAUUACUGGGCUUCUCUGUAUCCCCC